rnacentral:rRNA from 1 species
GACGAACGCUGGCGGCGUGCUUAACACAUGCAAGUCGAACGGAAAGGCCUCUUUCGGGGGGUACUCGAGUGGCGAACGGGUGAGUAACACGUGAGUAACCUGCCCUUGACUUUGGGAUAACUUCAGGAAACUGGGGCUAAUACCGGAUAGGAGCUCCUGCUGCAUGGUGGGGGUUGGAAAGUUUCGGCGGUUGGGGAUGGACUCGCGGCUUAUCAGCUUGUUGGUGGGGUAGUGGCUUACCAAGGCUUUGACGGGUAGCCGGCCUGAGAGGGUGACCGGCCACAUUGGGACUGAGGUACGGCCCAGACUCCUACGGGGGGCAGCAGUGGGGAAUAUUGCAAAAGGGGGGGAAGCCUGAUGCAGCAACGCCGGGGGCGGGAUGACGGCCUUCGGGUUGUAAACCGCUUUCGCUCAUGACGAAGCUUUGGGUGACGGUAGUGGGAAAAGAAGCACCGGCUAACUCCGU